rnacentral:piRNA from 1 species
UCCUAGCCUAUAGACAGUAUUUGUUAAAUA